GAGAAACUUGUAAACCUACAUUUGUUCUAACUGACAUAGAACAGAGGUGAAAUUUUGAAAGAAGAGGGAUCCUAUUUCUUAUAUCCCCUAACCAAUUUCAGUUUCUACCAAUUCUUCCAACUUUUCUUGAAAGGUCAGGAUAGUGGGGAUGAACAGAGAGGUGCUUUUUUCAACCCAGCCUCCUCUAACCCUCUCCCUCCUGCCCUGAAGAUUUAGCCUGGCAUCUAAGGUCAGGAGGAGAGGGUGAUGUAAUCUGGUAGCAGGACCUGUGGCCCUACCUCUCAGGGUGGUGUUGGGAAAUGAGCUGACCCAGUGGGGAGCAUUUUCACUGUUGACCGCCCUCUUGGGGCUCCCAAUCUGAACUCUGUACACAGGGUUUUCAGAAGGACUCAGAGAUGACAACAAGACCAUAUUUGUUUGCAUCAUUCAAAUGGAUUCUUCAGAUAGUCUAAACACUACUCUUUUGUCUUUCAAAGGACAAAACUACAUUUGAUAAUUUAGUAAUAGUUUUUAAUAGAUUGAAAAGAAUUUUCAUUAAAAGAUGGCCAUCAGAUAAACAUGAUCAUUUAAAUAAUCUCAUUCCCCUCUUAUCUUAUACCAGAAAAUUAAGCAUCUAAUAUACCUUAUUCAAGCUACAACCUGAUUUAUAUCCGCGAGCUAAGAACGCAGCAUGGCAUCAACCCAUAGCAUGUGAAAGUUUUUGCCAAGACAUGUCAGAACUCCUUUAAGGAACAGAUCACUCCAUGAAUUCUAGACUUACUCAACAUCAGUGACCUCACAGUUAAAGUAUGCCUUAAUGAUCCAAUGGUAGAAACUGUUCAGUAAAUACAUAGAAUAGUUCUCAUUGUUAUCAGUGGGCGUUUCCUAGAACUUUUGAACUGUUUCUAAAUCCACAACCCCAUGGUGUUUGCAAAAUUUGAUUUACCAAAGAAAUAGACACCUAAAAAGAGCUUCUAUUCCAGUCUUCUCUUUCUCCCUCCCUCCCCUACCUUUCUUUCUUGUUUUCUUUCC
rnacentral:lncRNA from 1 species